AGCGGCGAGCGAACGGGGAGCAGCCCAGAGCCUGAAUCAGUGUGUGUGUUAGUGGAAGCGUCUGGAAAGGCGCGCGAUACAGGGUGACAGCCCCGUACACAAAAAUGCACAUACUGUGAGCUCGAUGAGUAGGGCGGGACACGUGGUAUCCUGUCUGAAUAUGGGGGGACCAUCCUCCAAGGCUAAAUACUCCUGACUGACCGAUAGUGAACCAGUACCGUGAGGGAAAGGCGAAAAGAACCCCGGCGAGGGGAGUGAAAAAGAACCUGAAACCGUGUACGUACAAGCAGUGGGAGCACGCUUAGGCGUGUGACUGCGUACCUUUUGUAUAAUGGGUCAGCGACUUAUAUUCUGUAGCAAGGUUAACCGAAUAGGGGAGCCGAAGGGAAACCGAGUCUUAACUGGGCGUUAAGUUGCAGGGUAUAGACCCGAAACCCGGUGAUCUAGCCAUGGGCAGGUUGAAGGUUGGGUAACACUAACUGGAGGACCGAACCGACUAAUGUUGAAAAAUUAGCGGAUGACUUGUGGCUGGGGGUGAAAGGCCAAUCAAACCGGGAGAUAGCUGGUUCUCCCCGAAAGCUAUUUAGGUAGCGCCUCGUGAAUUCAUCUCCGGGGGUAGAGCACUGUUUCGGCAAGGGGGUCAUCCCGACUUACCAACCCGAUGCAAACUGCGAAUACCGGAGAAUGUUAUCACGGGAGACACACGGCGGGUGCUAACGUCCGUCGUGAAGAGGGAAACAACCCAGACCGCCAGCUAAGGUCCCAAAGUCAUGGUUAAGUGGGAAACGAUGUGGGAAGGCCCAGACAGCCAGGAUGUUGGCUUAGAAGCAGCCAUCAUUUAAAGAAAGCGUAAUAGCUCACUGGUCGAGUCGGCCUGCGCGGAAGAUGUAACGGGGCUAAACCAUGCACCGAAGCUGCGGCAGCGACGCUGAUGCGUUGUUGGGUAGGGGAGCGUUCUGUAAGCCUGUGAAGGUGUGCUGUGAGGCAUGCUGGAGGUAUCAGAAGUGCGAAUGCUGACAUAAGUAACGAUAAAGCGGGUGAAAAGCCCGCUCGCCGGAAGACCAAGGGUUCCUGUCCAACGUUAAUCGGGGCAGGGUGAGUCGACCCCUAAGGCGAGGCCGAAAGGCGUAGUCGAUGGGAAACAGGUUAAUAUUCCUGUACUUGGUGUUACUGCGAAGGGGGGACGGAGAAGGCUAUGUUGGCCGGGCGACGGUUGUCCCGGUUUAAGCGUGUAGGCUGGUUUUCCAGGCAAAUCCGGAAAAUCAAGGCUGAGGCGUGAUGACGAGGCACUACGGUGCUGAAGCAACAAAUGCCCUGCUUCCAGGAAAAGCCUCUAAGCAUCAGGUAACAUCAAAUCGUACCCCAAACCGACACAGGUGGUCAGGUAGAGAAUACCAAGGCGCUUGAGAGAACUCGGGUGAAGGAACUAGGCAAAAUGGUGCCGUAACUUCGGGAGAAGGCACGCUGAUAUGUAGGUGAAGCGACUUGCUCGUGGAGCUGAAAUCAGUCGAAGAUACCAGCUGGCUGCAACUGUUUAUUAAAAACACAGCACUGUGCAAACACGAAAGUGGACGUAUACGGUGUGACGCCUGCCCGGUGCCGGAAGGUUAAUUGAUGGGGUCAGCGCAAGCGAAGCUCUUGAUCGAAGCCCCGGUAAACGGCGGCCGUAACUAUAACGGUCCUAAGGUAGCGAAAUUCCUUGUCGGGUAAGUUCCGACCUGCACGAAUGGCGUAAUGAUGGCCAGGCUGUCUCCACCCGAGACUCAGUGAAAUUGAACUCGCUGUGAAGAUGCAGUGUACCCGCGGCAAGACGGAAAGACCCCGUGAACCUUUACUAUAGCUUGACACUGAACAUUGAGCCUUGAUGUGUAGGAUAGGUGGGAGGCUUUGAAGUGUGG
rnacentral:rRNA from 1 species